CGGACGGGUGAGUAAUGUCUGGGAAACUGCCUGAUGGAGGGGGAUAACUACUGGAAACGGUAGCUAAUACCGCAUAACGUCGCAAGACCAAAGAGGGGACCUUCGGGCCUCUUGCCAUCGGAUGUGCCCAGAUGGGAUUAUCUAGUAGGUGGGGUAACGGCUCACCUAGGCGACGAUCCCUAGCCGGUCUGAGAGGAUGACCAGCCACACUGGAACUGAGACACGGUCCAG
rnacentral:rRNA from 1 species